rnacentral:rRNA from 1 species
AACGAACGCUGGCGGCAUGCCUAACACAUGCAAGUCGAACGAGACCUUCGGGCCUAGUGGCGCACGGGUGCGUAACGCGUGGGAACCUGCCCUUAGGUUCGGAAUAACUCCCCGAAAGGGGUGCUAAUACCGGAUAAUGUCUUCGGACCAAAGAUUUAUCGCCUUUGGAUGGGCCCGCGUUGGAUUAGCUAGUUGGUAGGGUAAAAGCCUACCAAGGCGACGAUCCAUAGCUGGUCUGAGAGGAUGAUCAGCCACACUGGGACUGAGACACGGCCCAGACUCCUACGGGAGGCAGCAGUGGGGAAUAUAGGACAAUGGGCGAAAGUCUGAUCCAGCAAUGCCGCGUGAGUGAUGAAGGCCUUAGGGUUGUAAAGCUCUUUUACCCGGGAUGAUAAUGACAGUACCGGGAGAAUAAGCUCCGGCUAACUCCGUG